UAGGUCCAAUUUUUUUCUUUGAUCUUCUCAAAAAUGAUGACGAGCUACCUACACACCACUUCACGAGACUUUGGCCAUUGGAAUUGGACAGAUGGACAUACUGAGACGCCAAAGAUGCAACCUCCAGCGUGCGGGUCCAGACCGUCCCUCCGAAGCAGCUCAGACAGGCCCAGUAAAUCAGCAUCCCUGUCCCUUCAAACACCCCACCUUCCUCUCCAUGAAUGCCACAGGGAGAUUGGAGUCAUCAAUUACGAC